GUUUGAUCCUGGCUCAGAUUGAACGCUGGCGGAAUGCUUUACACAUGCAAGUCGAACGGCAGCACGGGGGCAACCCUGGUGGCGAGUGGCGAACGGGUGAGUAAUACAUCGGAACGUGCCCAAUCGUGGGGGAUAACGUAGCGAAAGCUACGCUAAUACCGCAUACGAUCUACGGAUGAAAGCGGGGGAUCGCAAGACCUCGCGCGAAUGGAGCGGCCGAUGGCAGAUUAGGUAGUUGGUGGGGUAAAGGCUCACCAAGCCGACGAUCUGUAGCUGGUCUGAGAGGACGACCAGCCACACUGGGACUGAGACACGGCCCAGACUCCUACGGGAGGCAGCAGUGGGGAAUUUUGGACAAUGGGCGCAAGCCUGAUCCAGCCAUUCCGCGUGCAGGAUGAAGGCC
rnacentral:rRNA from 1 species